AUCGUGACUCGACGACGACGACCCACUAAUGAAGUUCUAAUACAGUGGGCGAACCUACCAAUAGAAGAUGCCACUUGGGAGAACUAUGACGACUUGAAGAUCAAAUUCCCAGAAUUCAUGAAUCAUCAGCCUCGAGGACAAGGCUGAUUUGAAGAGGGUGGGUCUGUUAGGACUCUAGCUUGGAGAGUCCUAAUUGAGAGGGACAUUCAUGUAAAAC
rnacentral:lncRNA from 1 species